GUGUCUCCCCGGUGACACGCCCAGGGGGCUGGGAGAAGCUGGUGAGUGGAGAGAAGUGGCCCCAGACCUUGGAGUGCACAGCCUCCAGGAGGGGACGGCGAGGACGCACAGCCCUCUCCUACGACAGAGCCCAUCUCUUCGCCACCUGACCCAGGAGGUGCACACCCGCCCAGGCCACGAGGUUCAAGAGGAAGCACGCUCUCUAAGGCCAGGGCGUUUGCUGAGUGGACAGAGCGGACGGGGGCUCCGCUGGCCCUGCCGGGCUCUCAGUAGGUGUGGGGACCCUCAUGACCACUAAGCAGGACUUUUUGGAAGCCAGUGUUUUGGCAAUCUCGGACCCACUGAGACCAGGCAGAGGGGUCCGGGUGCGGGUGUGUGAGGGCUGCGUUUGU